rnacentral:rRNA from 1 species
UACGGGGGGGGCAAGCGUUGUUCGGAAUUACUGGGCGUAAAGGGCGCGUAGGCGGUUGGAUAAGUCAGCUGUGAAAACCACGGGCUUAACUCGUGGCCUGCAGUUGAGACUGUCUGGCUUGAGUGCAGGAGAGGAACGCGGAAUUCCAGGUGUAGCGGUGAAAUGCGUAGAUAUCUGGAGGAACACCGGUGGCGAAGGCGGCGUUCUGGACUGCAACUGACACUGAGAAACGAAAGCCAGGGGAGCAAACGGG